UCGAGGGGUAUAGUUUUUCGGAAUUAGAGACCGGCGCACGGGUGCGUAACGCGUAUGCAAUCUACCUUUUACAGAGGGAUAGCCCAGAGAAAUUUGGAUUAAUACCUCAUAGCAUUGCAGAAUGGCAUCAUUCAGCAAUUAAAGUCACAACGGUAAAAGAUGAGCAUGCGUCCCAUUAGCUAGUUGGUAAGGUAACGGCUUACCAAGGCUACGAUGGGUAGGGGUCCUGAGAGGGAGAUCCCCCACACUGGUACUGAGACACGGACCAGACUCCUACGGGAGGCAGCAGUGAGGAAUAUUGGUCAAUGGGCGCAAGCCUGAACCAGCCAUGCCGCGUGCAGGAUGACGGUCCUAUGGAUUGUAAACUGCUUUUGUACAGGAAGAAACAACUCUACGUGUAGGGUCUUGACGGUACUGUAAGAAUAAGGAUCGGCUAACUCCGUGCCAGCAGCCGCGGUAAUACGGAGGAUCCAAGCGUUAUCCGGAAUCAUUGGGUUUAAAGGGUCCGUAGGCGGUUUAGUAAGUCAGUGGUGAAAGCCCAUCGCUCAACGGUGGAACGGCCAUUGAUACUGCUAGACUUGAAUUAUUAGGAAGUAACUAGAAUAUGUAGUGUAGCGGUGAAAUGCUUAGAGAUUACAUGGAAUACCAAUUGC
rnacentral:rRNA from 1 species